GAUGAACGCUGGCGGCGUGCUUAACACAUGCAAGUCGAACGAAGCACUUUAUUUGAUUUCCUUCGGGACUGAUUAUUUUGUGACUGAGUGGCGGACGGGUGAGUAACGCGUGGGUAACCUGCCUUGUACAGGGGGAUAACAGUUGGAAACGGCUGCUAAUACCGCAUAAGCGCACAGCAUCGCAUGAUGCAAUGUGAAAAACUCCGGUGGUAUAAGAUGGACCCGCGUUGGAUUAGCUAGUUGGUGAGGUAACGGCCCACCAAGGCGACGAUCCAUAGCCGACCUGAUAGGGUGACCGGCCACAUUGGGACUGAGACACGGCCCAAACUCCUACGGGAGGCAGCAGUGGGGAAUAUUGCACAAUGGGCGAAAGCCUGAUGCAGCGACGCCGCGUGAGCGAAGAAGUAUUUCGGUAUGUAAAGCUCUAUCAGCAGGGAAGAUAAUGACGUUACCUGACUAAGAAGCACCGGCUAAAUACGUG
rnacentral:rRNA from 1 species